ACAUAGGGUGCAAGCGUUGUCCGGAAUUAUUGGGCGUAAAGAGCUCGUAGGUCGUUUGUUACGUCGGAUGUGAAAACCUGAGGCUCAACCUCAGGCCUGCAUUCGAUACGGGCGAGCUAGAGUUUGGUAGGGGAGACUGGAAUUCCUGGUGUAGCGGUGGAAUGCGCAGAUAUCAGGAGGAACACCAAUGGCGAAGGCAGGUCUCUGGGCCAAUACUGACACUGAGGAACGAAAGCGUGGGGAGCGAACAGGAUUAGAUACCCUGGUAGUCCACGCCGUAAACGGUGGGCGCUAGUUGUGGGGACCUUCCACGGUCUCUGCGACGCAGCUAACGCAUUAAGCGCCCCGCCUGGGGAGUACGAUCGCAAGAUUA
rnacentral:rRNA from 1 species